UCUCCGUAGGUGAACCCGCGGAGGGAUCAUUACAGAGUUCAUGCCCUACCUGGUAGAUCUCCCACCCUAUGUUAUUAUUACUUUGUUGCUUUGGCGGGCCGUUAGGCUCCGGCCCGACUACCGGCCCCGGCUGGUAAGCGCCCGCCAGAGGACCCAAAACCCUGAAUAUUAGUGUCGUCUGAGUACUAUAUAAUAGUUAAAACUUUCAACAACGGAUCUCUUGGUUCUG
rnacentral:misc_RNA from 1 species